rnacentral:rRNA from 1 species
UACAGAGGGGGCAAGCGUUGUUCGGAAUUACUGGGCGUAAAGGGCGCGUAGGCGGCCAACUAAGUCAGACGUGAAAUCCCCAGGCUCAACCUGGGAACUGCGUCUGAUACUGGAUGGCUCGGGUUCGGGAGAGGGAAGUGGAAUUCCAGGUGUAGCGGUGAAAUGCGUAGAUAUCUGGAGGAACACCGGUGGCGAAGGCGGCUUCCUGGACCGACACUGACGCUGAGGCGCGAAAGCCAGGGGAGCAAACGGG